GUGGAGAUGAUUAGCGUUAUGCAGUGUUUUAAGUGGAUAAUCAGAACACUUGUGCUCACCACAAUAACAAGAGUGCCAGCCUCCUCACCUUGUCAUGACUGUAAAAGCUGGAUUAAAUGGGCUUGUCUAUAUUGGGUGCCUAGUUACCAGGCUGCUUCCAAAGUGGAUACUGUGGCCAUCAGUGACUCCUUCCUUGACCUCAACAAUAGGGACUAUGCGUCCAGAAAUGAUUCUACCCAUGGCAAGUUCAACGGCAUCAUCAAGGCUGAGAACAGUCCCAUCCAAGACCCAUGAAGAAGGAAGGACCUGAGAGUCUUCCCUUGUUGAAUACCAUUGCUGCCAUCAAGAAAAUUUCCACUGUGUACAAUACGGGUGCAGUUAAGAAAAUAAAACACAUGGAGACACAUGAAA